UACGUAGGGGGCAAGCGUUGUCCGGAAUCAUUGGGCGUAAAGAGCGUGUAGGCGGCCCGAUAAGUCCGCUGUGAAAGUCCAGGGCUCAACCCUGGAAUGCCGGUGGAUACUGUCGGGCUCGAGUUCGGAAGAGGUGAGUGGAAUUCCUGGUGUAGCGGUGAAAUGACGCAGAGUAAUCAGGAGGAACACCAAUGGCGAAGGCAGAUCUCUGGGCCGUAACUGACGCUGAGGAGCGAAAGCAUGGGGAGCGAACAGG
rnacentral:rRNA from 1 species